GGAAGGAUCAUUAACUACAAAUCUGUGGCCUCGGUCACAUUCGCUCCGUGCUCCGGCACGUGACAUUUGCUCGUUUGACAUUUACAGAAGACAAUAUAAACUUUUAACAAUGGAUCUCUAGGCUCUUGCAUCGAUGAAGAACGCAGUAAAGUGCGAAAACUAGUGCGAUUUGCAUGUUCUGUGAGUCAUCGAGUCUUUGAACGCAUAUGGCACCAUGCCUCGCAUGGUAUGCCUGUUUGAGAAUCAUACACACGUUAUUAUUGGGCCUUCACCAUUGAUCGCCCGGAACACUUGCGCACUGCCGAGUUACAGCAACGCGACAGUCCUCUCACUUUGAUCUCAAAUCAGGCAAGAUUACCCGCCGAACUUAAGCAUAUCAGUAAGCGGAGGAAGAGAAACUAACAAGGAUUCCCCUAGUAACGGCGAGUGAAGCGGGAAGAGCUCAAAUUUUAAAUCCGGGAGCGCGCAGCUCUCUGAAUUGUAGUUUCAAGACGCGGGCCCUGGCUGGCGCGCAGGCGUUCAAGUUCCCUGGAAUGGGGCAUCGCAGAGGGUGAGAAUCCCGUCUGGACGCUUGCGCACUGGCCGCCUGGCACGCGUCAAAGAGUCGAGUUGUUUGGGAAUGCAGCUCAAAAUGGGUGGUAAAUUUCAUCUAAGGCUAAAUAUUGGCAAGAGACCGAUAGCAAACAAGUACCGUGAGGGAAAGAUGAAAAGAACCUUGAAAAGGGAGUUAAACAGUGCGUGAAAUUGUUAAAAGGGAAACGAUUGAAGCGAGUAUUGCGCAAGCAGGCCAGCGCCGGUUUUGGCAGCCGCACACGCCCCGCAGAAAGGUGACGUAGCAGUACGUUUUAUAGUCUGCGGAUGCAGCGGUCGCCGUGACUGGACGGGCGCCACACACACGUGGGUACGUACUGGUGAAGCACUGGCCGACUGCAUGCAGGCGGCCAGUGUCCAUCCCUUACAUCAUGCGUGCAGGCGCCGAGCUGGCGAAAUGGCUUCAAACGACCCGUCUUGAAACACGGACCAAGGAGUCUAACGUAUGUGCGAGUAUUUGGGUGGCAAACCCGAGUGCGCAAUAAAAGUAAGCAGUGGGAGAUGCUCGGCAUCGCACCAUUGGCCGAUCUUGAUAUCUCUUGAUAGAUUCGAGUCAGAGCACAUCCGCUGGGACCCGAAAGAUGGUGAACUAUGCCUGAAUAGGGUGAAGCCAGAGGAAACUCUGGUGGAAGCUCGCAGCCGUUCUGACGUGCAAAUCGAUGGUCAAAUUUGGGUAUAGGGGCGAAAGACUAAUCGAACCAUCUAGUAGCUGGUUCCCUC
rnacentral:misc_RNA from 1 species